CGCAGUCUUCAGAAAUAUCUAAGUGAACACUGUGAUACGUCUGACCUUCAGUCCGAAGCUGAAACUCAGACCAGUCAUAAAAGAAAGCACAAACCAAAUCCCCUGUACACAUAUAGUGACUCAGAGGAUGAGCAGCCCACAAAGAAAUGGUUUCCCCAGGCCCCUCGAGUGAAAAUACCAGACCUGACGAGAGCUGUUAACGAACUCCGUGAGGAGGUCAGAGCCAUCCGCAAUACCGGCUGCAAUGAAUCGGUAGAUGCUGGGGUACUGCCUCUGGAUUUGCCCUUGCACAACAUUGAGGAGCUAA